rnacentral:rRNA from 1 species
GAUGAACGCUGGCGGCGUGCCUAAUACAUGCAAGUCGAGCGAACACACGAGGAACUUUCUUGUUUCACUUUAGCGGCGCACGGGUGAGUGACAUGUGUGUAACCUUGCUAUAUGACUGGGAUAACUUCCUGAAACCGGUGGCAAUUCCGGCUUAUUGAUUCAAGCCCAUGGUUCAAGAGUUAAAGGCGGUUUUCCUUCGACUUAUAGAUGGAUCCGCGAGGGAUUAGCUAGUUGGUAGGGUAACGGCUUACCAAGGCGACGAUUCGUAGCCGACCUGAGAGGAUGACCAGCCACACUGGAACUGAGACACGGUCCAGACUCCUACGGGAGGCAGCAGUGGGGAAUAUUGCACAAUGGGCGAAAGCCUGACGCAGCCACGCCGCGUGUAUGAAGAAGGUCUUCGGGUCGUAAAGUACUUUCAGCGGGGAGGAAGAGAUGAAAGAUAAAACCUGUGCGCAUUGACGUUACCCGCAGAAGAAGCACCGGCUAACUCCGUG